rnacentral:rRNA from 1 species
UACGUGCAGCAGCCGCGUAUACGUAGGUGGCAAGCGUUGUCCGGAUUUAGCAGGCGUAGAAGCGUUAGCGCAGCCGUUCUUAAAGUCUGAUGUGAAAGCCUCUCGGCUCAACCGAAGAAGUGCAUCGGAAAAUGAUGCAAACUUGAGUGCAGAAGAGGACAGUGGAACUCCAUGUGUAGCGGUGAAAUGCGUAGACAUAUGGAAAAACUGACCAGUGGCGAAGGCGGAUAACUCCUCGGAAACAGACGCUGAAGCUCGAAAGCAUGGGUAACAAACAGGAUUAGAUACCCGCAUAGUCCAGACCGUAAAAGAUGGAAUCGGCUAUCACUGUUGGAGGGUUUCCGCCCUUCAGUGCUGCAGCUAACGCAUUAAGCAUUCAGCAUGGGGAGGUAACGGCUCACCAAGGCAAUGAAACGCAAACGAACUGACGGAGGCCCGCACAAGCGGUCCAGCAUGUGGUUUAACUCGAAGCUACACGAAGAACCUUACAAACUCCUGACAGACUAGGCAAAUCUAAGAGAUUAGACGUUCCCUUCGGGGACAUGGAUAAAAGUGCUGCAUGGUUAUCAACACCGCGUGUCGUGACAUAAUGGGAUAAGUCCCACAACGAGCGCAACCCUUAAUAUAUAACUUGCCAGCAUUAAGUUAGGCACUCUGAUAAGUACUGACGGUGACAAAACGGAGAAAGGCUCCGCGAAGACGUCAAAUGCAACAAGCCGCCGUAAGACCUAGGCGACAAACGUGCUACAACGGAUGGUACAACGAGUUGCGAACUCGCGAGAGCAAGCUAAUCUCCUAAAGCCAUGAUCAGAAAGCACUGUAGGCUGCAACUAGCCUAAAUGAAGUCAGAAUCCCUGAAACAAUCGCGUGAACAACACGCCGCGGGGAAUACGUUCCCGGGCACUGAACACUACCGCCAACCACACCAGAAGAAGCCUGUAACAACCAUACAGACCGAGGGGUAACCUUUUAGGAACCAGCCGCCUAAUA